UACGGAGGGUGCAAGCGUUAUCCGGAUUCACUGGGUUUAAAGGGUGCGUAGGUGGGAAUGUAAGUCAGUGGUGAAAUCUCCGUGCUUAACAUGGAAACUGCCAUUGAUACUAUGUUUCUUGAAUUUUCUGGAGGUAAGCGGAAUAUGUCAUGUAGCGGUGAAAUGCUUAGAUAUGACAUAGAACACCAAUUGCGAAGGCAGCUUGCUACAGGGAUAUUGACACUGAGGCACGAAAGCGUGGGGAUCGAACAGG
rnacentral:rRNA from 1 species